UGGGGAAUAUUGCACAAUGGGCGCAAGCCUGAUGCAGCCAUGCCGCGUGUAUGAAGAAGGCCUUCGGGUUGUAAAGUACUUUCAGUCGGGAGGAAGGUGGUAAGGUUAAUAACCUUAUCAAUUGACGUUACCGACAGAAGAAGCACCGGCUAACUCCGUGCCAGCAGCCGCGGUAAUACGGAGGGUGCAAGCGUUAAUCGGAAUUACUGGGCGUAAAGCGCACGCAGGCGGUUGAUUGAGUCAGAUGUGAAAUCCCCGGGCUUAACCCGGGAAUUGCAUCUGAUACUGGUCAGCUAGAGUCUUGUAGAAGGGGGUAGAAUUCCAUGUGUAUCGAUGAAAUGCGUAGAGAUGUGGAGGAAUUCCGGUGGACAAGGCGGCCCCCUAAACAAAGAAUGACGCUCAGGUGCGAAAGCGUGGGGAGCAAACAGG
rnacentral:rRNA from 1 species